rnacentral:tRNA from 1 species
GCCUGAGUGGCUCAGUCAGUUGAGCGCCUGACUUCAGCUCAGGUCAGGAGCUCCCAGCUCACGGGUUUGAGCCCCGCCUCGGCCU